GACGAACGCUGGCGGCGUGCUUAACACAUGCAAGUCGAACGGAAAGGCCCUGCUUUUGUGGGGUGCUCGAGUGGCGAACGGGUGAGUAACACGUGAGUAACCUGCCCUUGACUUUGGGAUAACUUCAGGAAACUGGGGCUAAUACCGGAUAGGAGCUCCUGCUCCAUGGGGGGGGUUGGAAAGUUUCGGCGGUUGGGGAUGGACUCGCGGCUUAUCAGCUUGUUGGUGGGGUAGGGGCUUACCAAGGCUUUGACGGGUAGCCGGCCUGAGAGGGUGACCGGCCACAUUGGGACUGAGAUACGGCCCAGACUCCUACGGGAGGCAGCAGUGGGGAAUAUUGCACAAUGGGCGGAAGCCUGAUGCAGCAACGCCGCGUGCGGGAUGACGGCCUUCGGGUUGUAAACCGCUUUCGCCUGUGACGAAGCGUGAGUGACGGUAAUGGGUAAAGAAGCACCGGCUAACUACGUG
rnacentral:rRNA from 1 species